rnacentral:tRNA from 1 species
GCCUCAGUGGUCGAGUUGGUUAAGACACUCUUCUCAGAAAGUUGGGAGGUCCCAGGUUUGAAUCCUGGCUAAGGUA